rnacentral:rRNA from 1 species
AACGAACGCUGGCGGCAUGCCUAACACAUGCAAGUCGAACGAGACCUUCGGGUCUAGUGGCGCACGGGUGCGUAACGCGUGGGAACCUGCCCUUAGGUUCGGAAUAACUCCCCGAAAGGGGUGCUAAUACCGGAUAAUGUCUUCGGACCAAAGAUUUAUCGCCUUUGGAUGGGCCCGCGUUGGAUUAGCUAGUUGGUAGGGUAAAAGCCUACCAAGGCGACGAUCCAUAGCUGGUCUGAGAGGAUGAUCAGCCACACUGGGACUGAGACACGGCCAGACUCCUACGGGAGGCAGCAGUGGGGAAUAUGGGACAAUGGGCGAAAGCCUGAUCCAGCAAUGCCGCGUGAGUGAUGAAGGCCUUAGGGUUGUAAAGCUCUUUUACCCGGGAUGAUAAUGACAGUACCGGGAGAAUAAGCUCCGGCUAACUCCGU